rnacentral:rRNA from 1 species
UUGCCUCAGUAGCGGCGAGUGAAGCGGCAAAAGCUCAAAUUUGAAAUCUGGCGUCUUUGGCGUCCGAGUUGUAAUUUGAAGAAGGUAUCUUUGGGCCCGGCUCUUGUCUAUGUUCCUUGGAACAGGACGUCACAGAGGGUGAGAAUCCCGUGCGAUGAGAUGACCCGGGUCUGUGUAAAGUUCCUUCGACGAGUCGAGUUGUUUGGGAAUGCAGCUCUAAGUGGGUGGUAAAUUCCAUCUAAAGCUAAAUAUUGGCGAGAGACCGAUAGCGAACAAGUACAGUGAUGGAAAGAUGAAAAGAACUUUGAAAAGAGAGUGAAAAAGUACGUGAAAUUGUUGAAAGGGAAGGGCUUGAGAUCAGACUUGGUAUUUUGCAUGCUGCUCUCUCGGGGGCGGCCGCUGCGGUUUACCGGGCCAGCAUCGGUUUGGAGCGGCAGGAUAAUGGCGGAGGAAUGUGGCACGGCUUCUGCUGUGUGUUAUAGCCUCUGACGAUGCUGCCAGCCUAGACCGAGGACUGCGGUUUUUAACCUAGGAUGUUGGCAUAAUGAUCUUAAGUCGCCCGUCUUGAAACACGGACCAAGGAGUCUAACGUCUAUGCGAGUGUUUGGGUGUAAAACCCGUACGCGUAAUGAAAGUGAACGAAGGUGGGGGCCCAUUAGGGUGCACCAUCGACCGAUCCUGAUGUGUUCGGAUGGAUUUGAGUAAGAGCAUAGCUGUUGGGACCCGAAAGAUGGUGAACUAUGCCUGAAUAGGGUGAAGCCAGAGGAAACUCUGGUGGAGGCUCGUAGCGGUUCUGACGUGCAAAUCGAUCGUCGAAUUUGGGUAUAGGGGCGAAAG